rnacentral:tRNA from 1 species
UUCAGUGUAGCUCUCAGUGGUAGAGCAUUUAUCUGGCAUAUACACGGCUCUGGGUUUGAUCCCUAGUGCUGAAA